GGGCCUGUAGCUUAGCCUGGCAACCCCCUUCUUUCUUCCAAAGAAAGAAGGCCGUUGACGGUUCAAGAAAGAAUCGUCGUGGCUUUUCUGAAAAGGAAAUAGGAAGGUGGUUGGGCAAUUGGAGCGCCAGUCUUAUAAACUGGUGGUCGUGAGUUCAAAUCUCACCUGGCCCA
rnacentral:tRNA from 1 species